rnacentral:lncRNA from 1 species
GUUAUUCAUGAUGGUUGGAGGAGCGAAUUUACUUUCUUUAAGCUGUUGUGAAUAGUUCCCGAUGCGUUUUCUUUCUAAAGACGUGUCUUAGUCGUUAUCGAUUUUCGAAAAGGUGCUAUCAAAUGAAGGCCAUAAUUGGUGGGGAGUUUUCGAAGAAUUUGAGAUUUUUGAAUUUGAAAUUCUUUUAGGCUUGUAAAAACCUCUUUUGGAG